CAAGAUCGUGGUGUAAAGCUAAGAUUUGCUGAACUUCCUUUGGACAGUUUUUGGUUGACUGCUGCCAAGGAAUUCCCCAUUCCGGCCAACAAAGUUUUGACAUUGCUCCCAUUUUCCACAACAUAUGUGUGUGAGCUGAGCUUUUCAAGCCUAACUGCUAUAAAAACUAAAAACUAAAAACAGAGAGAGACUGAAAGCUGCUGAAGAGCUUCGUGUAUGCCUUUCUUCAAUUCCUGCCAGGAUAUCGGCUUUAUGUUCAUCUAAGCAGGCCCAGGUUUCACACUGAGAAGCUGCCUUAAUCACGAUGUACCCAGGCUACGCAGGCAGGACCGAGCUCCGGGACAACCUGGAGGCCCGCUUCAGAUCCGUCUCCAUGAUUGUGCCCGACCACGCCGUCAUCGCAGAGGUGGACUUGUGAGCUGAGGGCUUCAAGUCCAGUGAGACUCUGGCGAAGAAGAUGAUUCAGCUGUAUAAGCUGUGCAGCAAGCAGCUUUCCCGGCAGGACCACUACGACUUCAGCAUGAGAGUCAUCAACUCUGUUAUCGUCAUGGCCGGGUAUGUCCGUCUACGAACAGGGUGAACAUAUUAGAUUAGAUUAGAUUCAUCCGUUGUUUUUUCUAAAUUGUUAAUUAAAACUAUCUAUAAAUGUAACAGAUGUCUUGCUGGAAUAAAUCGCGCGCGCGUGUGUGUGUGUGUGUGUGUGUGUGUGUGUGUGUUUUUUCCAGGUCGCUGAUGCGAGAGAACCCACACCUGAGUGAGAACGUGGUGUUGAUUAGAGCGCUACGAUACUCCAACCUGCCCAAGUUACUCAAGGAUGACGCAGAACUUAAAAUAAAAUAAACUGAUAAAUAGUAAAGAACGCCAAAGCUUACAUAUGGAGUAUCAAAGGUCAUUAUCACAGGAUCACUGGAAUCAGGCACUAGGAGGAAAUUCCAGGACAAAUUAGGAAAUACAAUUAACUGACAUUUGCAAAUUCUUUGCAACUAAAAAGCUGUAAUCAUAUACUAAUAUAACUUUUUUUAAAGCAUUUAAAGUAUAUAACAUUAGCACCUUGUAAUGUUAUACCAGAUGAAAGUAAAGAAUCCUGGAACAUCUGAACAUCCAUAAUCUGAAAAUCUUGAACCUAGUGUCAAUCGAGUCAAUCCAAUCCUUCUUGUGUGCGUUUAACGGUAUUCUGUCGGACCUCUUUCCUGGUGUGGGCGUCCCCGAGCAUGACUACGGCGUGCUUCAGUCGAACAUCGAGGCAGCUCUAUGCGCCCGCUCCCUGCAGCCCGUCUCCAGCAUGACCGCCAAUGUGAUCCAGCUGUACGAGACCAUGCUGGUGCACCAGGGCGUCUUGCUGGUGGGCCCUACAAGAGGCAGUUAGACCACGGCGUACCGUGCCCUCGCUGACGCACUGCGCACCCUCCACGAGAUAGAGGGCUGCGAGGUGAAUCCCUUCUAUAAGCCCAUCCAGACCGACGUGCUCAACCCGCAGUCAGUGAGCAUGGACGAGCUGUAUGGUGAAGACGACCCUCUCACACUGGAGUGGAGUGCCAUCAAACUGUCCCUCUGCAGUGACAUCGCCGACACGCACAAGUGGGUGGUGAGUGACGUACCUGUGGAUGUGCCUGUGGAUUGAGAAAAUUACCCCCGUGUUGGACAUCAACAAGACGCUCUGUCUGGCUAACGGUGAAAGGAUCAAGCUCACACCUUCUACACACGUUAUUCGAGGUGUUACCCAUCAGACACAGGUAGCAUCGGUCCUAAAAACCAUCACAAACAAGCACAAGCAUGUCAUUUCCAAGAAGAUUUUUUUUUUUUUUACGUUAAACGCAUUCCUGAUGGAAAGGUCACACACAAACGUAUCUUUAAGACUUCACUCUUUCACACGCCUAUAACGAGCGAUAAACGCAUUCGAAGCAUGUUAUAAAGCCUCCGUAAUGCAUUACGCAUAGUAUUUAAAUAAAUGUUAUUAUAAUAACAUGCACUACACUACAUUAUGAAUUCUUAACGUAUUGUUAACACGUCUUUACUGUGAGUGGGAUGAUGACCAGACGCAGGCAGGCUCCCGGGUACUCAUAUCCGUAGACGUACUGAUACAGAGCCAUUCUGGCCACGCACUUAUCCAGAUCCACGUCCCAGUAUUAGCACAGCUGCUUCUGCCACUCAAAGUUACUGCUCGAGUCCACCUACGUGAACACAUACACAAAGACAUGUGAUAUAUACACAAUCUCAUUGUAUACGAAUUGGGCAUUCUCGCUGACGAUAUAGCGUGGAUAGUUUAUAAUGAGUGUGUUCAUACUGUAUAAACCUGGGAACUGAUCUGCAUAUGCACUGCUGUCAGAGCUGCAGUUAUUUUUAAAAGAUUUAUUAACACCUUCUGACCAAUCAGAUCUGACCACACCCAUGAUUCCCUUCGCUCUGAAGAGAAGGUUUUAGCCGUCUGUACCCUUUCAUUGACGAGCUCCGUGACGAUGUCUCUGGCGUGGACAUCCACGGUAAUGAGAGCUGUGAUGAUGCUCUGAUGUAUUUUGGGUAAGUUACCCUGAAGCAGAGUAGCCAACACAUUCAGCCUCUGUAUAAACACACACACACACACACACACACACACACACAGAGUAAUACCCGUACAUUACCACAUAUUACACCAUUCACCAUUAUGUCAUGUAAUCAGAGAAGGAAAUCUGAACUACAGUUCCCAGCAGCCACUGCAUCACAGUCACAUGACCACCUGCACCUGGAUCACAUUCCUGGUAAGCACUUGUGUAUUUAGCCACAGUUUUCACUGCACUCUUUGUCUCACGUUUGUCUUUCUUUACCUUUGUCCCUGGUGCUGUGUUUUUCUCUUUGGUUUAUGUUUAGUCUUUGCCACAGUGAUUUGCCUCAAUGUCAGUGUCUUUUGUAUUUUGUUUAGUUCUUUGUUAAACUUGAAAAAUCUGCACUUGCAUCCGUCUCAACCUCCAUAUCGUGACACAAAAAUAUAAAUAUAAUAUAAUAUUAUAUAUAAAAUGUGUGUGGGGGUAUAUAUUAAUAGAGAGAAAGGCAUUUCUUCUCAGGGGGGAGGGGAGUAAUCAAUAGGAAGAAGGAUCUGAGAGGGAACAUGGACAAAAUUAAUGGAACUUUUUCCUGGUUCGGCCCUAAAUUUGAGCCAGAUUAAAUUUCGUCUGUACAAGUUGGACAAUAGGGAUGGGGAACAUAGAUUCAGUACCCUUAAGCCCAAUUAGAACUUCUAUUCCAACCAUUAAAACCAUUUUUUAUCUUGAAAUCUAGGGGUUUACCCAAACAAUAAACUCUAAUCACCUAAUUUUUAACCAAUAAAAACUCCUUUUUCCAAUGUUGAAACUUAGGGGCCAACCCUAACCCUGAAUUUAACCAUCAGAAACAAAUAAUAUGUUCUCUAAACUGAUCCUCCAACCCCCAAUAGUUAACCUCACCUAAAACGUCUUACAUUUGGGCCGAUUUUUUAAAAAGUCUUUCUUUAUUUAUUCAUUUUCAUAUGGUUCAUUUACAUGUGAUUCAUUUACAUAUGAUUCAUUUUCAUGAGAUUCAUAUUCAAGUGAUAUAUUUUCAUGUGAUUCAUUUACAUGUGAUUCAUUUUCAUGAGUCAUGAAAAUUAAUUUUUUUUAAAGUGGCAGAAUUCAUUUUUAACACAAUAUAUAGAUUAAAAAAUAUAUAUAAUUUCUUUUCCAUUUUUUUUAUACAACUGAUAUUUUCUCAUAGAAUGUUAAAUACAUAUAGAGAAAUAUAUACAGAAUGAAGGACAAGGUUUUGUGCCUGUGCCACCUCCCACACCAAGUGGGAGGUGUUGGGUUGGGUUGGGUUGAGUGUUGGGUUGAGUGUUGGGUUGAGUCAUCCCCUAACCUAACCCUGCCUGAGCCUUUUUAUUAAAGGUGUUUAAUUUAGUUUGAUGUGGUUUAGUUUGUUAGAAUGUGAAUUUAUCCGUUAUAUGUAGGCUAGCUAACUGCGUAGUUAACUAACGUUAGUCAGCUGACAAGAAAAAUAUCAGACUUUUUCCUCAUCCCCUGCCUGUCCAAAC